rnacentral:rRNA from 1 species
AUACGGAGGAUGCGAGCGUUAUCCGGAUUUAUUGGGUUUAAAGGGAGCGUAGGUGGGAUAUUAAGUCAGCUGUGAAAGUUUGGGGCUCAGCCUUAAAAUUGCAGUUGAUACUGGUUUCCUUGAGUACGGUACAGGUGGGCGGAAUUCGUGGUGUAGCGGUGAAAUGCUUAGAUAUCACGAAGAACUCCGAUCGCGAAGGCAGCUUGCCGGGCCGCAACUGACGCUGAAGCUCGAAGGUGCGGGUAUCGAACAGGAUUAGAUACCCUGGUAGUCCGCACAGUAAACGAUGGAUACUCGCUGUCGGCGAUAUACGGUCGGUGGCCAAGCGAAAGCGUUAAGUAUCCCACCUGGGGAGUACGCCGGCAACGGUGAAACUCAAAUGAAUUGGCGGGG